UGUGAAGAAGGCCUUAUGGUUGUAAAGCACUUUAAGCGAGGAGGAGGCUACUUUAGUUAAUACCUAGAGAUAGUGGACGUUACUCGCAGAAUAAGCACCGGCUAACUCUGUGCCAGCAGCCGCGGUAAUACAGAGGGUGCAAGCGUUAAUCGGAUUUACUGGGCGUAAAGCGCGCGUAGGCGGCUAAUUAAGUCAAAUGUGAAAUCCCCGAGCUUAACUUGGGAAUUGCAUUCGAUACUGGUUAGCUAGAGUGUGGGAGAGGAUGGUAGAAUUCCAGGUGUAGCGGUGAAAUGCGUAGAGAUCUGGAGGAAUACCGAUGGCGAAGGCAGCCAUCUGGCCUAACACUGACGCUGAGGUGCGAAAGCAUGGGGAGCAAACAGGAUUAGAUACCCUGGUAGUCCAUGCCGUAAACGAUGUCUACUAGCCGUUGGGGCCUUUGAGGCUUUAGUGGCGCAGCUAACGCGAUAAGUAGACCGCCUGGGGAGUACGGUCGCAAGACUAAAACUCAAAUGAAUUGACGGGGGCCCGCACAAGCGGUGGAGCAUGUGGUUUAAUUCGAUGCAACGCGAAGAACCUUACCUGGCCUUGACAUAGUAAGAACUUUCCAGAGAUGGAUUGGUGCCUUCGGGAACUUACAUACAGGUGCUGCAUGUUCUCUCGCGCAAAACA
rnacentral:rRNA from 1 species